CUUCUCCUCACAAUGUGAACACAGAGAUUUUACAGAGGGCAAGGUGAUACCUAUGAGGAGAAGAGAGAAAUAUGAGAUGUCUUUCAUUCUCUGGUCCUCAUUCAUCUGAAAUACGUGUGGACCAGCUGAAGAAAUUCUCAAGAAGAGGAGAUGCAAACUGGAUGACAGUAUGUCCAUGAUUUAAAGAAUAACUGUGACAUGGAUGGAAUUGCAGCUGGCCCUGAACUGUCUGCCUUGAUGUCACAAUGACCCUGGUGUCAUCUGUGCCUCUAGCAUCUUUGGGAAGAUGGCAUUGGUCCUCUCAUCACAAAGUGAAGCACAAGUGUUUGAAGAAGGUAAGAUGAUACUUCUGAAGAGGAUAUAGAAAUCUGAGAUUCUUUUCUAUCUCUGAUCUUCCUACAUCUGAAGUAAGUAUAAAGGAGAUUGAAAGGGACAGUCCCUGAGGAGGGAAAAAGGAUUUAAAAGUUGUUGGAUAUUCCCUCAGUGUCUGGAUAUAUCAUGCAUAGAGCCAUCUGGAUGUGGAGGCAAGAGAUAACGAAAGCUAAAUGGAAGAGGAUGAUGGGGAUUGGGGAG
ensembl:lncRNA